GGGAAAACCGCCAUUUUGGAAAAUGGAGGAAUGGCUGUGUCUGCACGAUGGAGUUCUGCCGCCACAGCUACGGCGCUAGCGUCUCUAUCGUGUGGCUGUGGGCUGAGUCAAGGUCCGAAAUCCGAAGUUCAGGAGAUAGCGAACACAAAAGGAACUUCCACAACCCCAACCCUGCUGUCUGCCCGAGACUAGCAUGGAGAAUGUCUCACCGUUUGAAGCCAAGGUCAGACUUUCAGUGCAUUACAGCUGCUUUCAACUGGACUGGAAACAUUUUUCUCCUUAAACAAGGAGUGAAUGUGAGCUAGUAGUCUGGGCACAGAAACCCUAAUUCCACAAACCACUUAAUCACAGGCUUAAAUCAGUGGGAUUUAAGCAUGUUCUUAAAGGUAAGCAGCUGCUUAAGUGAUCUGUUGAAUCAGGGCAGGGUGGGGAGUCAGGACUCCUGGGUCCUAUCCAUAGCUUGGCCACUGACUUGUAGCUUGGGCAAAUACGUCCCUGACCCAUUGUAAAAUGAGCACAUUAAAGCUACGCCUUAUGUGUUACUUGCUUUGAGAUCUACAGAUGAAAAAUCCUCUGUAACUGAGGAAUGCUCGAUAUCUUUUUUAAAACUAUCUUUUAAACAACACAUCUGUUCAGUAAGAUGGAAGAGCCAGUUGAAAUUAUAAUCCCGUCUAGCUAUUUUGAACUACAGUGUGUUUUUUCACUCCUCGGUGUCUAACCGGGAAUUGGAGCUGAGGUAGAAUAUAAUUAUCCGAGUUCGGAUGCGGCCAGGACACCAGAGUUAACUCUUACCAAAAAGCGCCACGGGAUCAUUAAAGCCACAAGUAGCCCGGACCUUCAUUUAAAGUCUUGUCUGAUAAGCAGAAGCACCCUUUUGGCUAGACGUGACGAGGAAACAGACUGAAAGUUGGAAAGGAGACCACAAGGAAUACUCAGGCCAGAAUGAGCAGGAAAGGAGAGGGAGGGAGGAGGGAAUAAGGAAUAAAAGGAGAGUUGGCCUGCGAAGUGAGAGAGGGAGGGGGAAUAGAAAAUAGAGACAGCUGGUAUGUUAUGAUCACAAAGUCCUUGCCAGGAGCAACCUAUCAGGGGAAAAUUCAGCCUUCUGGCAGAACUACAGCAGCUAACUUGAAUGUCUGUUUUAAGUGUCUUCGUUUAAGUGAAAUCCCUUCUUCCAGACAGCCUAGAAAAGAACCCUAUGCUAACUGUUUUACAGCAGUGCCCGAAGGUCCCAUUCAAGACCGGGAUAAGAGACCAUCUCUGCCCUGAAGAACUUACAAUCUAAGUAGACCAAGCGUGGGAAAGGGGCACAGACUGUAUAUCUACAGUGCAAAAAAACCCCAAAACAACCCUGCCGCAGAGCAUCUCCGAGCCCAGGUCUGCAGACUUGGGUUUGCAGGGCUAAAAAUAACCGUGCGGACAUUCCCGUUCGGGCUGGGAGCUUGGGCUCUGAAAUUUGGGGUGGGGGGUGGUGAGGAUGAGACUUGCUGCCAUGUAGACAUACCCAGAUAGGGGAAGGGACUUGCUUGAAGUCUGUCAGCCGAUCAGUGGCAGAGUUUGGACUUGAACAAAGUCUCCUGACUCUCAGUCCAGCAUCCUAACUACUGAACCCUCCUGCCUCUGGCCGGCCCCAGGUCUCCAAGGCACCCAGGUAACACUGCUGCAAACCAUGAUCAGGUGGAGUGUUGUGGGGACGCGGGAGGGCACUUUAGGUGCCACUCCGCCAGUCUUUGAAUGCAGGCUGAAGGAAGUGGGGGCCGUUUGGGUGAAGCAGGGCUCUUGGGGACGGCUCCAUUGCGGGGCUGGUAGAGAGUGGAUAAUAAACGGGUUGGGGGAGCUAGGAAAGCAGAACGGGGAAGCAGGCUCGUGUUCUGGACCCUGUAUCGGAGGCUGCGAAGGGCUUGAUGGAGCUGAAGGAGAGGGAGAGAAAAGGCAGGUCCAUGGCUUGGGACUCCCCAUGGAGAAUUCUCCUGUUUCCCUCAGCUCCCUGCUGUGCCUCUGAGGUUGCUGGUCCCUCUUGCUGCGCUGGCUGGUUUUCAGCAGAGGGCAGUGUUGUAGUGCGUCUGGCCAACACGAGCUCCGGCUUCUCGGGUCCAUCACAGGGAGAAACUCGUUCUAGGAAUGGAAAUAAAAUGGCUUUUCUGCUGCCCCGGCCUCUCGUCUCACAAGGCUGCUGACCUGCUGUCCUUCGAGCUGGCGCACGCCCACCAAGCCUGCCAGGCAGCUCAGCGUCCUUAGUCCUGCAUCCAGAGGAUAAGCGGAGGCACCAAGAGGUGGAAGUCAGUGGCAGGGCUGGGAGCUGGCUGGGAAGAGAACCCAGGAGUCCUGAGAACUAGGCAAUGCUCUCUGCAUCAAGCAGCCGCCUUGUCCUGCUGGGGGUGUCAGCAGGGGGGAGGUGGGAUGCUGCGAAUUGUUAACUGAUAAAACUGUUAGCCAGAUGUGGCUCAUGGGAGCCUCAGGGGCAAAAGUGGCAGCUUGAUUCCAGCACUGUGUUGCGCCUAAAAAUACAAGUCGGCUUAGAGCAGGGCUUAAAAAAAGAAGUAAGACAUACGGGGAGCCAGGCUAUCCUCUAGGGCCCCAUGGCAAAGGCUGCAGAGGGUUUGAGAGUGAACAGGGAACUACUGCCUGGGUUAGCCUCAUUUCUGCACUCUGCCUCCCUUCUGAGGGGACGUGGACACCCUGUCUGGGGCCCCGGGACCUGUUCCCUUCAUGGUACGUAGCUGUCACUGGGCUGAGGGGACGUGCACAUCCUGUCGGAGACCCCGGGGCCUGCUCCCUUCAGGGUACGUAGCUUUCACGGGGCUAACAAGAAACUGGCCCCUCUUUGCAUGGUAGAUUUUACCCUGAAGGGCAGGUUUUUCCAUAACUACCCACUACAUGGUUCUUCAACCUUCUUCUGAAGCAGCUGGUGCUGGCCACUACCAAAGACCAGAUACUGGGUGAGAAGGACCUUGGAUCAGAUCCAGUCUGGCCAUUCCUAAGGGCCAGAUCCUCAAAGGUAUUUUGAUUUCAGUGGGAGUCGCCUCAAUACCUUUGGGGAUCUAGGCCUAAGUUCCUGUGGUUCGCUGGCCAUUCUUGGGGGAUGUCUCCUCACAUCAUGGCUGGAGGUGCUCAUCUCUGGAGGGCAGAGAGCAACGUCAGGAUAAUCCCAGUGUUACACUUGGGCCCAGGAAACUGCAUUGGCCUGCACCCUUUGCAACGGGUAACGACAGGGAACACGUGCUGGUGCCACGACUUCGAACUCCGAGACCAAAGGCUGCCAGCCUUCGCCAGCAAAAUCCCUGCGGCGACGUGCCGUUGAGCCCCGCUUACGGGGCUGCACAGGACACAUACCUCGGGCUGUGCCCCAAGGCGCCUGCCGCUGUCAUCAGCCUAAUCAGUGUGACUGACUCACCUGGCAGCAGGGAGGCGGGACAGCGCAUCAAAAGCGUACGGCGCCGCUCUCGGAGGUAAGAUACCUUUUGAAUUCCGCACAGCAGCUGUGCUCCCUGCUGCGCUUUGUGCCGGGAUGCAACGGUGUCAUUCUAGGGGCAGAUCUCUCUUCUCUUUGAUCCAGGCACCACGCUGCUCGCCCAUUUCCAUUUAAAAUAACAUGUUUUGAAAAGCCCCUCCCGAGUGUUUCUGAUGCUCCAGCCCCAGCUUUUUUGCAAGUCCUGGAUGUGAGCAUCUCCGUCACGCCAAGUCUUUCGGGGGAAUCAUUAUAAACCCUACCGUGGGCUGUGAUCAGGCCUAACCAGAGAGCAGGAGGAGACAGGGCUUGGGAUCAAUGGAAGCAGCCUCCGGUGGAGAGCCAUGCUGAGACAUUUCAGCAGCCUCAGGGACGUCCCUUCAUCCCACCCGUAGCACAGCAGAAACGCGAGGCCCAUGGAGGGAUGUUAAUGCAAAGUGGAUGUUGACAGCCCGAAAGCUGCUCCUGCCCCAUCCCGAGCUGGGCUCGCUCAGCCCAGCUACAGACACGGAAUAUUUCCGGAUAAGCCAAAGAAAGUCUCUCGCGUCUCUAGAGCAGGAGGUACAAACCCGAACUGCAUGAUGGAGAGGGGAAACCAGGGGGCUGAAAAAGCAAUGGAGAAAUGAAAUCCUAUAUUUGUGGGAGUGUGUUUGAAAGGAGCAACAAGGAGU